rnacentral:rRNA from 1 species
UCAGGUAGGAUCACCCGCUGAACUUAAGCAUAUCAAUAAGCGGAGGAAAAGAAACCAACAGGGAUUACCUCAGUAACGGCGAGUGAAGCGGUAACAGCUCAAAUUUGAAAGCUAGCUCUUCUGGGGCUCGCAUUGUAAUUUGUAGAAGAUGCUUCGGGUGUGGCCCCGGUCUAAGUUCCUUGGAACAGGACGUCAUAGAGGGUGAGAAUCCCGUAUGUGACUGGGUGCUUUCGCUCAUGUGAAGCUCUUUCGACGAGUCGAGUUGUUUGGGAAUGCAGCUCAAAAUGGGUGGUAAAUUUCAUCUAAAGCUAAAUAUUGGCCAGAGACCGAUAGCGCACAAGUAGAGUGAUCGAAAGAUGAAAAGCACUUUGGAAAGAGAGUUAAACAGUACGUGAAAUUGUUGAAAGGGAAGCGCUUGCAACCAGACUUGCGCGCUGAUGAUCAUCCGGGCUUCUGUCCGGUGCACUCGUCUGCGCUCAGGCCAGCAUCGGUUUCGGUGGUGGGAUAAAGGCCUUGGGAAUGUAGCUUCUUUCGGGGAGUGUUAUAGCCCUCGGUGCAAUGCCGCCUACCGGGACCGAGGACCGCGCUUCGGCUAGGAUGCUGGCGUAAUGGUUGUAAGCGACCCGUCUUGUAACACGGACCAAGGAGUCUAACAUGUAUGCGAGUUGGUGGGUGGAAAACCCAUGAAGCGUAAGUAACCUAACUGGUGUGAUGGCCUGUGCCUGCAACAUCGACCGACCAUGAUCUUCUGUGAAAGGUUUGAGUGCGAGCAUACCUGUUGGGACCCGAAAGAUGGUGAACUAUGCGUGAAUAGGGUGAAGCCAGAGGAAACUCUGGUGGAAGCUCGUAGAUGUGCUGACGUGCAAAUCGCUUUUCGGACUUGGGUAUAGGGGCGAAAGACUAAUCGAACCAUCUAGUAGCUGGUUUCCUCCGAAGUUUCCCCCAGGAUAGCUGGAGCUCAUAUGUGUUACGUCAGGUAAAGCGAAUGAUUAGACGCAGGGGGAUGAAACAUCCUUCACGUAUUCUCAAACUUUAAAUAGGCGUGAAGCGUGGGAUGCUUAAUUGAUCCCACGCAAUUAAACUGAGCUCCAAGUGGGCCAUUUUUGGUAAGCAGAACUGGCGAUGCGGGAUGAACCGAUAGCUAAGUUAAGGCGCCCAACUGCACGCUAACCUAGAUCCCACAAAGGGUGUUGAUUGAUAUAGACAGCAGGACGGUGGUCAUGGAAGUCGAAAUCCGCUAAGGAGUGUGUAACAACUCACCUGCCGAAUCAAUUAGCCCCGAAAAUGGAUGGCGCUGAAGCGUGCGGCCUAUACUUAGCCAUUGAAGCAAGUGCGAAGCUUCAAUGAGUAGGAGGACGUGGGUGUCGUUGCGCAGCCUGAGGCGUGAGCCUGGGUGAAACGGCAUCUAGUGCAGAUCUUGGUGGUAGUAGCAAAUACUCAAAUGAGAACUUUGAGGACUGAAGUGGGGAAAGGUUCCAUGUGAACAGCAGUUGGACAUGGGUUAGUCGAUCCUAAGAGAUGGGGUAAUCCUGUGUAAAGAGCGCGAUUCGCGCUGCCCAUCGAAAGGGAAAAGGGUUAAGAUUCCCUUACCUGGACAAGGCGGCUGACGGUAACGUAAGCGAGCCCCGAGACGCCGGGACUGGCCCUGGGAAGAGUUCUCUUUUCUUUUUAACUGCUCGAAGGCCCUGGAAUCGAAUCAUUCGGAGAUAGGGCUCAGUAGCAGGUAAAGCACCGCACUUCUUGCGGUGUCCGGCGCGCCAGUCACGGUCCGUGAAAAUCGGGGGGAGCGGCUACCGAUCUUGCCAGGUCGUACUCAUAACCGCAUCAGGUCUCCAAGGUGAACAGCCUCUAGUUGAUAGAACAAUGUAGAUAAGGGA